rnacentral:rRNA from 1 species
UACGUAGGGCGCAAGCGUUGUCCGGAAUUAUUGGGCGUAAAGAGCUCGUAGGCGGCCUGUUGCGUCCGCUGUGAAAUCCCGGGGCUCAACCCCGGGUCUGCAGUGGAUACGGGCUGGCUGGAGGCAGGCAGGGGAGAACGGAAUUCCUGGUGUAGCGGUGAAAUGCGCAGAUAUCAGGAGGAACACCGGUGGCGAAGGCGGUUCUCUGGGCCUGUUCUGACGCUGAGGAGCGAAAGCGUGGGGAGCGAACAGG